AGAGUUUGAUCCUGGCUCAGGAUGAACGCUGGCGGCGUGCUUAACACAUGCAAGUCGAACGAUGACUUUUGUGCUUGCACAAAAUGAUUAGUGGCGAACGGGUGAGUAACACGUGAGUAACCUGCCCUUAACUUCGGGAUAAGCCUGGGAAACCGGGUCUAAUACCGGAUACGACGGAUUCCCGCAUGGGGGUCCGUGGAAAGCUUGAUGCGGUUUUGGAUGGACUCGCGGCCUAUCAGCUAGUUGGUUGGGGUAAUGGCCCACCAAGGCGACGACGGGUAGCCGGCCUGAGAGGGUGACCGGCCACACUGGGACUGAGACACGGCCCAGACUCCUACGGGAGGCAGCAGUGGGGAAUAUUGCACAAUGGGCGAAAGCCUGAUGCAGCGACGCCGCGUGAGGGACGAAGGCCUUCGGGUUGUAAACCUCUUUCAGCAGGGAAGAAGCGAAAGUGACGGUACCCGCAGAAGAAGCGCCGGCUAACUACGUGCCAGCAGCCGCGGUAAUACGUAGGGCGCAAGCGUUAUCCGGAAUUAUUGGGCGUAAAGAGCUCGUAGGCGGUUUGUCGCGUCUGCUGUGAAAGCCCGGGGCUCAACCCUGGGUCUGCAGUGGGUACGGGCAGACUAGAGUGCAGUAGGGGAGACUGGAAUUCCUGGUGUAGCGGUGAAAUGCGCAGAUAUCAGGAGGAACACCGAUGGCGAAGGCAGGUCUCUGGGCUGUAACUGACGCUGAGGAGCGAAAGCAUGGGGAGCGAACAGGAUUAGAUACCCUGGUAGUCCAUGCCGUAAACGUUGGGCAUUAGGUGUGGGGGACAUUCCACGUUUUCCGCGCCGUAGCUAACGCAUUAAGUGCCCCGCCUGGGGAGUACGGCCGCAAGGCUAAAACUCAAAGGAAUUGACGGGGGCCCGCACAAGCGGCGGAGCAUGCGGAUUAAUUCGAUGCAACGCGAAGAACCUUACCAAGGCUUGACAUCCCGCUGACCGGCCUAGAGAUAGGCUUUUCCCUUCGGGGACAGCGGUGACAGGUGGUGCAUGGUUGUCGUCAGCUCGUGUCGUGAGAUGUUGGGUUAAGUCCCGCAACGAGCGCAACCCUUGAUCUUAGUUGCCAGCAUUCAGUUGGGCACUCUAAGGUGACUGCCGGUGAUAAACCGGAGGAAGGUGGGGAUGACGUCAAAUCAUCAUGCCCCUUAUGACCUGGGCUACACACGUGCUACAAUGGACGGUACAGAGGGUCGCAACCCCGCGAGGGUGAGCAAAUCCCAUAAAACCGUUCUCAGUUCGGAUUGUAGGCUGCAACUCGCCUACAUGAAGCCGGAAUCGCUAGUAAUCGUGGAUCAGCAUGCCACGGUGAAUACGUUCCCGGGCCUUGCACACACCGCCCGUCAAG
rnacentral:rRNA from 1 species